UAUUAGUUAGCUUAAUAAGAGUAAAGUUUUGAAGCAACUCAGGUAAAUUUUAAUUUACUAAUAA
rnacentral:tRNA from 1 species